rnacentral:rRNA from 1 species
UCCGUAGGCGGGCGAUUAAGUCAGAGGUGAAAUCCCACAGCUUAACUGUGGAACUGCCUUUGAUACUGGUCGUCUUGAGUUAUAGUGAAGUAGAUAGAAUAUGUAGUGUAGCGGUGAAAUGCAUAGAUAUUACAUAGAAUACCGAUUGCGAAGGCAGUCUACUAACUGUAUACUGACGCUAAUGGACGAAAGCGUGGGGAGCGAACAGGAUUUGAUACCCUGGUAGUC